UACGGAGGGAGCUAGCGUUGUUCGGAAUUACUGGGCGUAAAGCGCACGUAGGCGGCUUUGUAAGUUAGAGGUGAAAGCCCGGGGCUCAACUCCGGAACUGCCUUUAAGACUGCAUCGCUUGAAUCCAGGAGAGGUGAGUGGAAUUCCGAGUGUAGAGGUGAAAUUCGUAGAUAUCGGGAGGAACACCAGUGGCGAAGGCGGCGAUCUGGGAAGAUACGUGACGCUGAGGUGCGAAAGCGUGGGGAGCAAACAGG
rnacentral:rRNA from 1 species